rnacentral:tRNA from 1 species
AAGUACAUAGCUUAGUUGGUAAAGCAUUAGACUUUUAAUCUACAGAUCUUGGGUUCAACCCCCAAUGUACUUA